UGUAGCGGCGAUAACACGUUGAAUACGCCAGUUCCCAUUGGUUCGCUGAAGUUAAGUAACGUUCUGCGUGGUUGGUAAAGCUGUGUCCUCACAUAGUCGACCACGUCGAUCGACGA
rnacentral:rRNA from 1 species